rnacentral:rRNA from 1 species
UUAAGCGACUAAGCGUACACGGUGGAUGCCCUGGCAGUCAGAGGCGAUGAAGGACGUGCUAAUCUGCGAUAAGCGUCGGUAAGGUGAUAUGAACCGUUAUAACCGGCGAUUUCCGAAUGGGGAAACCCAGUGUGAUUCGUCACACUAUCAUUAACUGAAUCCAUAGGUUAAUGAGGCGAACCGGGGGAACUGAAACAUCUAAGUACCCCGAGGAAAAGAAAUCAACCGAGAUUCCCCCAGUAGCGGCGAGCGAACGGGGAGCAGCCCAGAGCCUGAAUCAGUGUGUGUGUUAGUGGAAGCGUCUGGAAAGGCGUGCGAUACAGGGUGACAGCCCCGUACACAAAAAUGCACAUAUUGUGAGCUCGAUGAGUAGGGCGGGACACGUGGUAUCCUGUCUGAAUAUGGGGGACCAUCCUCCAAGGCUAAAUACUCCUGACUGACCGAUAGUGAACCAGUACCGUGAGGGAAAGGCGAAAAGAACCCCGGCGAGGGGAGUGAAAAAGAACCUGAAACCGUGUACGUACAAGCAGUGGGAGCACGCUUAGGCGUGUGACUGCGUACCUUUUGUAUAAUGGGUCAGCGACUUAUAUUCUGUAGCAAGGUUAACCGAAUAGGGGAGCCGAAGGGAAACCGAGUCUUAACUGGGCGUUAAGUUGCAGGGUAUAGACCCGAAACCCGGUGAUCUAGCCAUGGGCAGGUUGAAGGUUGGGUAACACUAACUGGAGGACCGAACCGACUAAUGUUGAAAAAUUAGCGGAUGACUUGUGGCUGGGGGUGAAAGGCCAAUCAAACCGGGAGAUAGCUGGUUCUCCCCGAAAGCUAUUUAGGUAGCGCCUCGUGAAUUCAUCUCCGGGGGUAGAGCACUGUUUCGGCAAGGGGGUCAUCCCGACUUACCAACCCGAUGCAAACUGCGAAUACCGGAGAAUGUUAUCACGGGAGACACACGGCGGGUGCUAACGUCCGUCGUGAAGAGGGAAACAACCCAGACCGCCAGCUAAGGUCCCAAAGUCAUGGUUAAGUGGGAAACGAUGUGGGAAGGCCCAGACAGCCAGGAUGUUGGCUUAGAAGCAGCCAUCAUUUAAAGAAAGCGUAAUAGCUCACUGGUCGAGUCGGCCUGCGCGGAAGAUGUAACGGGCUAAACCAUGCACCGAAGCUGCGGCAGCGACACUAUGUGUUGUUGGGUAGGGGAGCGUUCUGUAAGCCUGUGAAGGUGUACUGUGAGGUAUGCUGGAGGUAUCAGAAGUGCGAAUGCUGACAUAAGUAACGAUAAAGCGGGUGAAAAGCCCGCUCGCCGGAAGACCAAGGGUUCCUGUCCAACGUUAAUCGGGGCAGGGUGAGUCGACCCCUAAGGCGAGGCCGAAAGGCGUAGUCGAUGGGAAACAGGUUAAUAUUCCUGUACUUGGUGUUACUGCGAAGGGGGGACGGAGAAGGCUAUGUUGGCCGGGCGACGGUUGUCCCGGUUUAAGCGUGUAGGCUGGUUUUCCAGGCAAAUCCGGAAAACUAAGGCUGAGGCGUGAUGACGAGGCACUACGGUGCUGAAGCAACAAAUGCCCUGCUUCCAGGAAAAGCCUCUAAGCAUCAGGUAACAUCAAAUCGUACCCCAAACCGACACAGGUGGUCAGGUAGAGAAUACCAAGGCGCUUGAGAGAACUCGGGUGAAGGAACUAGGCAAAAUGGUGCCGUAACUUCGGGAGAAGGCACGCUGAUAUGUAGGUGAAGUCCCUCGCGGAUGGAGCUGAAAUCAGUCGAAGAUACCAGCUGGCUGCAACUGUUUAUUAAAAACACAGCACUGUGCAAACACGAAAGUGGACGUAUACGGUGUGACGCCUGCCCGGUGCCGGAAGGUUAAUUGAUGGGGUCAGCGCAAGCGAAGCUCUUGAUCGAAGCCCCGGUAAACGGCGGCCGUAACUAUAACGGUCCUAAGGUAGCGAAAUUCCUUGUCGGGUAAGUUCCGACCUGCACGAAUGGCGUAAUGAUGGCCAGGCUGUCUCCACCCGAGACUCAGUGAAAUUGAACUCGCUGUGAAGAUGCAGUGUACCCGCGGCAAGACGGAAAGACCCCGUGAACCUUUACUAUAGCUUGACACUGAACAUUGAGCCUUGAUGUGUAGGAUAGGUGGGAGGCUUUGAAGUGUGGACGCCAGUCUGCAUGGAGCCGACCUUGAAAUACCACCCUUUAAUGUUUGAUGUUCUAACGUUGACCCGUAAUCCGGGUUGCGGACAGUGUCUGGUGGGUAGUUUGACUGGGGCGGUCUCCUCCUAAAGAGUAACGGAGGAGCACGAAGGUUGGCUAAUCCUGGUCGGACAUCAGGAGGUUAGUGCAAUGGCAUAAGCCAGCUUGACUGCGAGCGUGACGGCGCGAGCAGGUGCGAAAGCAGGUCAUAGUGAUCCGGUGGUUCUGAAUGGAAGGGCCAUCGCUCAACGGAUAAAAGGUACUCCGGGGAUAACAGGCUGAUACCGCCCAAGAGUUCAUAUCGACGGCGGUGUUUGGCACCUCGAUGUCGGCUCAUCACAUCCUGGGGCUGAAGUAGGUCCCAAGGGUAUGGCUGUUCGCCAUUUAAAGUGGUACGCGAGCUGGGUUUAGAACGUCGUGAGACAGUUCGGUCCCUAUCUGCCGUGGGCGCUGGAGAACUGAGGGGGGCUGCUCCUAGUACGAGAGGACCGGAGUGGACGCAUCACUGGUGUUCGGGUUGUCAUGCCAAUGGCACUGCCCGGUAGCUAAAUGCGGAAGAGAUAAGUGCUGAAAGCAUCUAAGCACGAAACUUGCCCCGAGAUGAGUUCUCCCUGACUCCUUGAGAGUCCUGAAGGAACGUUGAAGACGACGACGUUGAUAGGCCGGGUGUGUAAGCGCAGCGAUGCGUUGAGCUAACCGGUACUAAUGAACCGUGAGGCUUAACCUU